rnacentral:lncRNA from 1 species
UUUCACAUCUUCAUUUAUGUCAUAAGUAAAAUUGGAAGCUUUCCAAAAAUUGUGCCUUGAACUGUGAGAAUUCUGCCUCAUUGAAGUGCUCAUUUUGGAGAUGGAAGCCAUGUUUGGAACAAAUAAAAAAUGAAGAGCUUUUUAAAGCUGACUGAAGGGAUCUCUGAGGCUACCAAAGCUAGCUCCAAGGUUUGCAGCAAGCCCUUCAUAUGUGAUUAUUUAGGUCUCUGCAUUCAUAUCUUUACAAGUAGAUGCAACAUUCAUUUUAGACGACAUCUAUUCUCAGCUAUGUCUCCAUAUUAACCUGAAAUCUAUCACUGUAAUUUCCAUCCACUGAUCCUAAUUUUAAUCUCCCUAACUACAAAGAAUACUUAUUGAUGUCAGAACCUAAGACUGUUUCAUCCCUUGGUUUUCUCUUUGUGAACUAAAUAUUACGUUUUAAUCUUUCCCCUUCCUUAACUUCCAUACCUGAUCAUCUUCCUGGAUGUUCUCAAAACUACACAGUGCACAUGUUUGAGGGAUGCUGUGUUUCUGUGUGACUCGGUUAGCAGUAAAAGUAUGGAGUUUGUCAUUGUUUAUCUAGCUUCCAAAGGGUGGGGAAGCAUUGGAUCUUCAAAUGUUGCUGAAUGAUGCUGUGGUGGUAAAUUUUUCUUCAGGACAGAAUGGCCAGAGGUUUCCCAGCAGUUUCACCCCUUGCUGUAUAGCAAACACCAUUGCCAUCCCGUCUGAUUCUCGUGCCCAUUCCCACAAACAAAUUCUAGUGCUGCUUCUUUGGGGACUAAUGCUAAGCCUCAGUUAAAUUGAGAUUCCCUACUGUCUCGUAGAUUGGAAGCAACAGAGUCAAAACAUUAAAGGUAGAUCUAGGACCUACAAGCAAAUUUGUUGCCUCCAUAAGUAAAUCUCUGCAAUACCCACAAAGUCAAUCCAAAACACAAAAUAGGAUUUUAAAUUAAAUGUCAACAAAGUGUUAACCCUCUACAGUUAACGCGGUGCAUGUAAAUCUGGGCUCACAGUGCCUAGCACCUGGUAUGCACUCAAAAGGUAUUAGAUGCCAGCAUUAUUAGUGCUGUUCCUAAUGAAAGUGAGUUCUCCUUUUCUGUUACUGAUUACCACAAGUGUAUGUGCUUCACAAACAUCUUAAAGUUCUACAGAAAAAUAAUGCAGCCUGACAUCAGAGUCCAGCCAGUCACAUUCCUUCCCAAGCACUCCUUUUUCCAGCUUCUGGCCACUGGGCCCUGUCUCCAUCUUCAGAGCCAGGGACUUUGGGCCAGAUCCUUCUCAUGCUGCCACAUUCCUGGAGUUUUCUCUUCCAGUUCUCACUUCCACUUUUAUGGGAAAAUGUCCUCAUUUCAGUAUCAGCCAGCUAGCAACUCUUAACUCCAUCUUUAGCUUGUCUUCAUCACGCACAGCCUAGCAUAGUCACAGGUUCUAGGAAUUAAAGCCUGGACAGUUAAAGCUCUCAAGAAAGAGCUUUGUUCUGCCUACAUCUUUCUUGAAAAAUAGUCUGUCUAGGACCAAAGCUUAUAUGCCUACCCAGUUCAGAAAGAGAAUGGCUUGGUGUUCUUUAUCAAACAUGGUGCCUUAUCAAAGCACCGUGCCAUCUUGUUUCAUGAAGUUCAAUGCUCUUGCGCUGGUCAUCGUAGAUGAGUGUAGGAUCUAUCUUGCCCAUCUCUCCAUUCCAAGUAGUCACCCAUCUUCCCAAAAGCAAAGUGAAAAUGAUACUGGGAGAAGAGUUAUGGUCUUUUCAUGUUUCGAAAUCUAGGGAAAGGAAAAAGGCAUUUAUCUAUGGCACAAAUCACCUUUGAAAGAAAACAAACUCUCUAUUGCUGAGAUUGGAGCUCAGAUCCGUGCAUAUGGCAAAUGUGUUCUGUCUCUGAUCUGAACCCCUCGCCACAGAUGAAACUUUCUUAAUAAGGAUUACUAAUGCUACCUGUCCUCAUUUGCUGGUUAAAAAAGGAUUUCUGUUUUAUAUCUGCAUGAAAAGUCAUGUGGUCUUUCUGUGGACCCUGUUCACAGCUGGAAUUCUAGCUGCCAUAUGUACCCCUCAUAUGUACUGAGUCAAUCCAUUCAACGCUGUAAUCUAUGCUUUUUAUCCUUAAAGGAAAGACUUCUGACCACUUCUGAAAGACAAGACUUUUCUAUUAUAUUUCAUUUUAUUUCCUUUUAGCCAGCUUGCUGAAACCUACAAGCUGGUAGGUAGGAUGUAACCUGUAAGGCAGACCUCAAAUGUCAUGUAUGACAGUCGUCAUUGUCACAACAUAAGCAAAGUAAAACAAUAUUGCUGGACCCACUUGCAUGCCUCCUUAACGUUGCUCUGCAGCCUCUCGUAUGAAACAAAGCAGCCUCCUAUCCAUAGACAUUCUUGGAAAAGCAGCCAGCGUUUAAACACUACACAUUUCCUGGAGUGCUCUUUUUGCAUUUUGCAAAUAGGUUUAGUGAGAAAGUGAAAGACUUCAGUGGAUACUGAAGAGAAGUUCAGGAGGACAAUGCAAUUGCCUAAGUCAGCCCAUGGCCAGUCUACUAACCCUGAAACAGGAAAAUGUGGGCUGAUGGCAUUUAGUUUGUUUCUCGGUUACGUUGAGGGUUAUCUUCUAUAUUGUGCAUCUGCUAAACAUUUAGUUUUUAAGUGCAUGACUGAGAUCGUCCCUGUGACAAAUCUGAAUUUAAACAGAUUGUUAAAGUUUAAAGGGUUUUAAAGGUAAUUCCACAUGCAAUAGAAAGAUCUCUUUGCAACUAAGACUAAAGUUAGGACAAAUUUCUAAAGUAUUAGCCAGUGAUACAGCAUACAUACAUAGAGUCCUCUCACUCUAAGGCACUUCAUGCAGGUACUAUCUCAUAGUUUCAUACUUAAUUCUACUCUGCUCCUGUUCUUUGCCUUCUUCUACUAGGAUUUCCAGAAAAAAUAGUACAAGAUGAUGUGAGGACUGUAUUCAAUCACCUUACUAUAGUCAGUCCCAAGUGCUUUUAAAUUAAGUAGAAAGCAAGGUGUAAACCGACCUAUUCUUUACACCCUGCUUCUUCAUGAUUCAUGACACAAUGGUCUGGUGGCUCCAGGACCAUCCCAGCACCACUCAUAUUCCCUAAGCACAGGCUUGCUUGGAGGACCUCUAAACUCACCUCUCAAACCU